AAAUUGAAGAGUUUGAUCAUGGCUCAGAUUGAACGCUGGCGGCAGGCCUAACACAUGCAAGUCGAACGGUAACAGGAAGCAGCUUGCUGCUUUGCUGACGAGUGGCGGACGGGUGAGUAAUGUCUGGGAAACUGCCCGAUGGAGGGGGAUAACUACUGGAAACGGUAGCUAAUACCGCAUAACGUCGCAAGACCAAAGAGGGGGACCUUAGGGCCUCUUGCCAUCGGAUGUGCCCAGAUGGGAUUAGCUAGUAGGUGGGGUAAUGGCUCACCUAGGCGACGAUCCCUAGCUGGUCUGAGAGGAUGACCAGCCACACUGGAACUGAGACACGGUCCAGACUCCUACGGGAGGCAGCAGUGGGGAAUAUUGCACAAUGGGCGCAAGCCUGAUGCAGCCAUGCCGCGUGUAUGAAGAAGGCCUUCGGGUUGUAAAGUACUUUCAGCGGGGAGGAAGGGAGUAAAGUUAAUACCUUUGCUCAUUGACGUUACCCGCAGAAGAAGCACCGGCUAACUCCGUGCCAGCAGCCGCGGUAAUACGGAGGGUGCAAGCGUUAAUCGGAAUUACUGGGCGUAAAGCGCACGCAGGCGGUUUGUUAAGUCAGAUGUGAAAUCCCCGGGCUCAACCUGGGAA
rnacentral:rRNA from 1 species